UUGUAAACAAAGUUCCACUUCCGUGACGCUAACGCUUUGUUAGCAACAUGACGAGUUCCCUGUGAACCAAGAUCAAAAACAUGUUAGCGUUUCAGUAGUGCGUUAAAAAUGAUCUGAAAUGAUGGCGCUCAGAAAGAGAAGAGCAUUGUGCGAGGCGUCCUCCGUUCAAUCCAAACAAGCUAAAUCACAAAGUGACAGUGACACAAGUCGCUAUUUCGCUCCGACUGAUCCACAGAAGAGACUGGGAGACAGGUUUUUCGACCAGCCCUGUGUGUGUCUGGCCAGAGCCUUGCUCGGAAAGGUGUUGGUCCACAAGUGUGAGGAUGGCACUGAGUUGAGAGGACGAAUCGUGGAGACAGAAGCGUAUCUCGGAGGAGAGGACAAAGCUUCGCACUCAGCCGGAGGCAAGCGCACGGAGAGGAACACUGCCAUGUUUAUGAAGCCUGGCACAAUCUAUGUGUAUCCCAUCUACGGAAUCUACCUCUGUAUGAACGUGUCUAGUCAAGGGGAGGGGGCUGCUGUUCUGCUGCGCUCCCUGGAGCCCCUGCAGGGUCACAAGGUCAUGCGUCAGCUGAGGACAGCCAAACGCAAAGAGGGAGCGCCACAGUUGAAGGACAAAGACCUCUGCAACGGCCCCUCAAAGCUGUGCCAGGCUCUGAAGGUAACCCGCUGCUUCGACCGUCGAGAUCUGGCUUCUGACGCCGAGGUUUGGCUGGAGGACGCGGAGGCGGCGGAACCCAGCGCUGUAGUGUCAACGUCUCGGAUCGGGAUCGAGUCUCACGGGGAAUGGGCCAAGAAGCCGCUGCGGUUUUAUCUCCGCGGACACCCGUGUGUGAGCGUGGUGGACAGAGUGGCUGAGAAACUGAGCGGAAUAAACACAGAAGUAAACAAAGAGACUUUGUAGUCUAUGUUAACUUCAAUUGUAAAAAGUCCUCCACCGUUGAUGGGACUGUAUAACUGAAGUGCAAAUGUUGAUGCCAUUUAAGCCAAGCAAUAUAUGAAUUUUCACGCUGGAAUUUGGAAUAUGAAAAAGAGCUUCUCUCACACCAUCUUUAAAAACAGUUUUUCUACCACUUGAGCUCACACUUGAUCUGGUUUUUCUAUUACUCCUGACCUUUUCUAAUUAUUAUGCGUUCAACCACUGUCUUUUUCAAUAAACAAUCCUACCUGAGCGCCUCAGUGGUUUCACAGCUGUUGGCUCGAUCUGUGUGACGUUGACAGCCGCUGUCUUUCUCUUCAGGUAGCUGUAAGUCUGGAAUGAUCAUUACUCACUGUGUGUGUGUGUGUCCACAGGAAAACAGUCCACUUCGUUUGCACAAAAUAAUUUAAUAUUUUCCAAUAGGCAGAAAUUAAGUACAAGCGCUUCCUUCUCACCGUGUCGCCAGGUCUCUGUUUCUACUCCAUUGGCGACUGGAAGAUUGAAAUAAUGGGGUCCUCGUGAUUCGUCACCACCAGGACGCUGCGGAACUUGUCAAACAGAGUCUUGAGCUGCGAGCGCCGGAUGUUCUCGUUGUACAUGAUCUCUUCCAGAUGGUGGUGGCCCCGGAAAUAGUGCAGGAGCCUGGAAGAAGUCGACAGAGCGGGAUGGAAAAGAGGAGAAUGGAUUGUAAAGUGAGACUGACACACAGUUUCUGUGAAGGUGUUUAUACGCUGACUUUUGCUAGUGAAGAUGCAAAUAUCAGUGUUUCUGUGCUGACAGAAAACAAGGUGAAUAAGGAAAACCACUCAAAAAAAAAGACACUUAAAAUUGCUUGUUGAUCUUAAAAGAGAUUCACAAGUUCACUCUUUCAGGACCGCACGACGGUCAUUGUCAUUAAUAGUCUUGUCGGAUGCUUAUAUUUAUUUUAUCCGUGCAAUUCGGGUUUUCGAGUUUCAGACUGUAAUACGCUCGACCGGACAGCAGGCGGCAGUAGCACUGCAAGAGCUGCGACAACACAGGUCGUAGCGCAGCAACCACUUCCGUUUGGAGGUAAUAAUUUAUACGUUUUUUUUAAAAACGAUAACUACAGAUUCUAUCAAUAAUAAGAAGGAGUUUAUAAUAAAUUCACUCAAAGAGGAGCAAAUACCUUGACUACGAAUAAAACAGUAUAUUAUUUUUGACAUUUGAAGGUGAUAUGUUAAAUAAAAUCAUGUUGUUUAUGUACAACAGUUGGAAGUAAGGUGAGGUGGAUUGAACUUAUUAUAUUUAUUUAUUUGACUCCAGAUUUUGCAUCUCUGGCUGACUAACCUGGCAAACAUCCGCAGAUCUUCUGGGUUCUGUGAGGCGGGGAUGUUGAGGAUGACCUGCCUCUCGUGGUCCGAGAGGCUGGCGAGCAGCGUCUCCGUCAUCCUCACGUUGAGAGGCGCGUCUCCGCCAGGAAGCAAUUCGGCGCUGGAGUUUUCCAUGCUUGGACUGUGCUUCAACUGUUGUGUAAUUCACUGAGGAACCUACUUGGGGAUCCAAAGCUGAGGGCACUUGGGGUACUGAGACUACGGCCCCCCACUCGUGCAGCCAGAGGGGGCUCUUCGUCUCGCAGCCCCGGCUCAUCCUCACUGGGCGGCACCAGCAAGCAGACGUACGUGUGCAGCUGGAUGAGGAGGCGGCGCUGCAGCAUCCACACCACCAUCUGGAUCAGCUGAGUCUGGUGAGAAGGCAGGUUAGCAGACAGACUCUCAUGAAAUAUGAAGCAGCUCGAGCUGUUGCUGAGGCAUUCAUCAUUUAUCACUGCUGAACUUGGAGAGCGCAGAUGACUGAACCUCCUUCGAACUUACACUAAGUAGUUACAGUCCAGAGCACGAAUAGAUAUAGUUACAUCUAUCUAUAUCAUAUGCUUGAACAAGAAAACAAACAUAAAUAAUAAACAGUACAAUUGAAGAACAUAUCUGGGGGAAAAUAUAGGUCAAUAAAAGGUCAAAUGAAGGUCAAGUAUAAAAAGGGCCAGAUGCAUUUCAACAGUAAAAAGCAGCCAUAAUUCUGGCAACGCAGACCUACCUCCUGGGCGGGAGCUUCCAGGGGGUUCCUGAACUCAGCCAGUGACACCGGCAGGGAGAACUUAGCCAACAUGGAGGGCAGGUCGCUGCCAGGAAACUGCUGGGCGAACUGUCGAGCCAAGUUUGAGUAUCUAACCAAGAAGAACGUUUACAUUAUCACAGCUCAUUGCAAGUCACGCCUCCACUUGAUGCUCAGCAGAGUCCGGCGGAAAGGUAAACAAAGUGAGAGGGAGAGUUCAGCAGACACUCACAGGCUGAUGUUGGCGUGAGGAGACAGCAUGUAGACGUUGUUCUCACACAGAGGGUAGAUGAUGAUGGCUUUUCCCCAGUAAACCAGAUGAGCGGCAAUCUGAAAUA